rnacentral:tRNA from 1 species
GCCGGUGUAGCUCAGCUGGCAGAGCAGCUGUUUUGUAAACAGCAGGUCGUCGGUUCGAUCCCGACCACCGGCU